rnacentral:sRNA from 1 species
CACACCACCUCCAGCCCUCUGCAUUCACGUAGCAUUGCUGCGGAGCUGGACGAGCUUGCUGAUGACCGUAUGGCACUGGUGUCAGGCAUCAGCUUAGAUCCAGAAGCAGCGAUUGGUGUGACAAAACGGCCACCUCCUAAGUGGGUGGAUGGAGUGGAUGAAAUUCAGUAUGAUGUUGGCCGGAUUAAGCAGAAGAUGAAAGAAUUGGCCAGCCUUCAUGACAAGCAUUUAAACAGACCCACCCUGGAUGACAGCAGCGAAGAGGAACAUGCCAUUGAGAUAACUACCCAAGAGAUCACUCAGGUGCCAGCGUGCCGUGCAGGCCCUGCCGAGCCGGUCCCGGGCCUGCUCCGAGCAGGAGGGGCGGCUGCUUGGGAACGUGGUGGCCUCGCUGGCGCAGGCCCUGCAGGAACUCUCCACCAGCUUCCGGCACGCACAGUCAGGCUACCUCAAACGCAUGAAGAAUCGAGAGGAAAGAUCCCAGCAUUUUUUCGACACAUCAGUACCACUAAUGGAUGAUGGAGACGAUAACACUCUUUACCAUCGGGGUUUUACAGAGGACCAGUUAGUUCUGGUGGAGCAGAACACACUGAUGGUGGAAGAGCGGGAACGAGAGAUUCGCCAGAUUGUACAGUCCAUUUCUGACCUGAAUGAAAUAUUCAGGGACUUAGGAGCGAUGAUUGUAGAACAG